rnacentral:rRNA from 1 species
GGUCUUUUGUUUUUUAUAUAAGAUCAGGCCUGCCCAUUGAUUUUUAAAUAUUAAAAGGCUGCGGUAUUUUAACUGUACUAAGGUAGCAUAAUCAUUUGCCUUUUAAUUGGAGGCUAGUAUGAAUGGUUUGAUGAAAAAUUAACUUUCUUUAUUUAAUUAAUUUGAACUUAAUUUUUUAGUUAAAAAGCUAAAAUUUUUUUAUAGGACGAGAAGACCCUAUAGAAAUUUAUUUUUUAUAUAAAUUUUGAUUUUUGGAUUAUAUUUUUGAAUUUUAGAAUAAAAAAUUUUGUUGGGGUGACAGUAAAAUUUAUUUAACUUUUACUUUUAUUUUCAUAAAUAAAUGUUUUUUUGAUCCAGAAUUUUUGAUUAAAAGAUUAAUUUACCUUAGGGAUAACAGCGUGAUUUUUUCGGAGAGUUCAUAUCGAUGAGAAAGUUUGCGA